rnacentral:rRNA from 1 species
GAUGAACGCUAGCGGCAGGCUUAAUACAUGCAAGUCGAGGGGUAGCAAGAUUGUAGCAAUACAAUUGUUGACGACCGGCAAACGGGUGCGCAACACGUACACAACCUUCCUACAAGUGGGGAAUAGCCCAGAGAAAUUUGGAUUAAUACCCCGUAACAUAGCGAUGUGGCAUCACAUUGCUAUUAUAGAUUCGUCGCUUGUUGAGGGGUAUGCGGCUGAUUAGAUAGUUGGCGGGGUAACGGCCCACCAAGUCUACGAUCAGUAGCUGAUGUGAGAGCAUGAUCAGCCACACGGGCACUGAGACACGGGCCCGACUCCUACGGGAGGCAGCAGUAAGGAAUAUUGGACAAUGGACGCAAGUCUGAUCCAGCCAUGCCGCGUGAAGGAUUAAGGUCCUCUGGAUUGUAAACUUCUUUUAUGAGGGACGAAAAAAGGUCUUUCUAGAUCGUCUGACGGUACCUUAUGAAUAAGCACCGGCUAACUCCGUGCCAGCCGCCGCAGUAAUAC